ACAGGUAUAGCUCAAGUGGUAGGGUGCAUGCUUAGCAUGCACAAGGUCCUGGGUUCAAUCCCCAGUACCUCCA
rnacentral:tRNA from 1 species